CCUACGGGAGGCAGCAGUGAGGAAUAUUGGUCAAUGGACGAGAGUCUGAACCAGCCAAGUAGCGUGAAGGAUGACUGCCCUAUGGGUUGUAAACUUCUUUUAUAUGGGAAUAAAACGUUCCACGUGUGGGAUUUUGUAUGUACCAUAUGAAUAAGGAUCGGCUGACUCCGUGCCAGCAGCCGCGGUAAUACGGAGGAUCCGAGCGUUAUCCGGAUUUAUUGGGUUUAAAGGGAGCGUAGGUGGAUUGUUAAGUCAGUUGUGAAAGUUUGCGGCUCAACCGUAAAAUUGCAGUUGAAACUGGCAGUCUUGAGUACAGUAGAGGUGGGCGGAAUUCGUGGUGUAGCGGUGAAAUGCUUAGAUAUCACGAAGAACUCCGAUUGCGAAGGCAGUUCACUGGACUGCAACUGACACUGAGGCUCGAAAGUGUGGGUAUCAAACAGGAUUAGAUACCCGUGUAGUC
rnacentral:rRNA from 1 species